rnacentral:tRNA from 1 species
GUCAGGAUGGCCGAGUGGUCUAAGGCGCCAGACUCAAGGACGAGCUCCUUCCCGCUGCGGGACUUCUGGUCUCCGAAUGGAGGCGUGGGUUCGAAUCCCACUUCUGACA